AUUUACGAACCUUUCCGGGAGCUCCUGCUCGGUGUGGCGUGUCCGUGGGAGGAAGUUCUGCGGUUUUACUAGGUUUUGCGAGUUCUUAACGAAAUUAAAUACGAUUUACGAGUUAUUACGAUUGGCGCGUUGAUGUUCUUUCGUAACUCGUAAGUUACGAUUGAAUAAACGAAUGUUCUUUCUCGAUUCUUUUAACGGGGACUUGGUCGCGAGAAAAUUCGACAGGCACUGGUCGCAACACGAACGAAGCUUCAACCUUCAUCGAUCGAUUUGACUGAUUUUUGAGAUCCAGUCACCGAAAACUUCCAUCAUUCCGUCAAAAACCGAGUGCCGACCCGCAGGGUGGCGAUCAUUUGAUAAGGGUUCUAUCUACAAUAGGCUGGUAGGCCAGUCUAUUGGUGGGUGUGUAGAUAACUGCGGCAACUGGAAGUUGGCCCUGAACGCAGAGCCCCCGUGGCUUUGCUAGCACCCCCAUAGUGAUCUUGUCUUAACCCGCUUCCUCACGACUCACCCAAUUCUCAUUGACAGCUGCCUCUUUGCUGCCUAGCACCUACAGAGUAUUUAUAAAAAAUUUACAAAAUAGUCAAUAUGAAGGUAACAAAUCUGGAUGAACGUAUUCAUGUUUUGGACAGUGCGUCAAAUGUUACGACCGUCAUCAAAGACAUUGCACUGAGUGGAAUGCAAGAAGAAGCUUUUUAUGUGCUUGACAUUGGUGACAUUGUACGUAAACAUCAGAUAUGGAAGGAAAAAAUGCCACGCGUCAGCCCUUAUUACGCUGUAAAAUGUAAUGACAACUUAGUUGUGAUUGAGGUAUUGGCUGCUCUUGGUAUUGGUUUUGAUUGUGCAUCAAAAUCGGAGAUUAAUAAAGUAUUAAGUGUUGGAGUAGACUCGUCGAGAAUUAUCUUUGCCAAUCCUGCUAAGCCAGCAUCACAUAUCCGUCAUGCUGCUGCUGUUGGAGUUGAUGCUAUGACAGUAGAUAAUGAAAGCGAGUUACAUAAGAUUAAGAAACUUCAUCCAAGUGCCAAGGUUGUUAUUAGAAUUCGUUGUGAUGCAGAAGUUGCUCAGUGUCAGUUAGGCAUGAAAUUUGGUUGUGAUCCCAUAUAUGAAGCACCCAAUCUUUUACGUCUUGCGCGUGUUUUGGGACUCAAUGUCAUCGGUAUUAGUUUCCAUGUUGGAUCUGGUUGUCAGGAUCCACCUGUAUUUUAUCGAGCUAUACGCGAAUCCAAGAUAUUGUUUGACUUAGCAACUGAUCUUGGUUUCAAGCCAUAUCUACUAGACAUUGGCGGUGGUUAUCCUGGAAAUAAGGGCACUAGCAUUGAUAAAAUUGCUAAUGUCGUUAAUGAUGCACUCGACGAAUUCUUUAAUACCGAUGCUGUUCACAUAAUCGCUGAACCUGGUCGUUUUUAUGUUGCCUCGGCAUUUACUCUUGCAACCAGUAUUCAUAGUAAGCGUUCAGUGCGUGGCGAUGAAAAUUCACCAAAUACGAUUACGCACAAUAUGUACUACAUUAAUGAUGGCGUUUAUGGCUCUUUCAAUUGUCUACUCUAUGAUCAUCAACAUGUAACUCCAAUACCUCUAAAGAAAGGUUGUGGAAAGAUGAUUCCCUCAAGUAUUUGGGGACCAACUUGUGAUGGUUUGGAUCAAGUUGUAGAAAACGUUAUGUUACACGAAAUGGAACUCGGCGAUUGGAUAAUUUUUGAAAAUAUGGGAGCAUACACGUUACCGGUUGCUUCUCCAUUUAAUGGAUUUCCUGUGCCUAAAGUUCAUAUCGUCGCUGAUGAAACCAUUUGGCAUUUGUUAAAAGACGCUUUGCCUUUGACCGAAGAGCAUUUUGUUAUUGGUAAUACUCCAGCUAAUUUACGGCUUGGUCUGGAUAUUGGUGGAACUGAUACCAAUGCAUGGCAUAAUCCAAACAUUGAACUGACAUCGACUGAAAUGUUAGCCGACGUUACUAAUCCACCAGCAGCAUACAUUUACGAUUACCUCGAAGUUGAUCUUUAAAUUAGCGCAGGCAUACUACGAUAACAACAAAUAUGUUAAAACAGCUACUCCACAUUUGUAGCGAGAAACCACAUCUUCAUUUUGAACGUAGAUAUUAUGGUAUAAUUCGAAACUAGGUUUUUUGUAAGGUUUGUGAUUUUGCAUUUUAUAUUUAUCUUGACGAGUUUGUAGGCGAAAAAUGUAAUAUUAUUUCCGCUUCUAUUCCAAUGAAAGCUUGGAGCGUUACUAAUAUUUGGUGCCAUCUUUGAAAAGCUGAAUUGUUUAUACUUUUUGUUUUUGUUAAAAGACUAAAAACGUGCAAAUUAUUUCAAUUAAUGCAGAAUGUGCAAUUGCUGCUAAAUAAUUAAAGAGUAGAAUGUAUAAAUUAAAGUCAAAUCUUCAAAAUUGAUUUAUUAUUGAAAAAUAUUUUCAGUACUACCGUAGAUAUUAUUCUACUACAUGACAUGUUAAAAUAUUUUCGUAGGAAUAUUUAUAUAUGCUUUUAGAAAUAGUUUUCCUCAUAUAUUGACUUCCAAAAUAUUCAAAAUAAUGUUUAUUGACCUUUUCCAUGGGUAUCUACGAUUUGCACGUUUAAUAUAGGGAAAAGUUUCAGGUUAUUUUUAUAUAAAUCAUAUAAAUAUGAGUUAAUAGAAAAUUUAGCUAACAAAAAUGGUAAUUUUAAUUUUCGCAAUCAUUUUUAUGAACGAUUGACGUCCAUGCUUAUGGUAAAUAAUGUUUUAUGUGGUUUUUUGAUAUUAAUCUCAAAUAUACAUAAUUUGUAUGAGAUAUAUAAAAAAAACAAGAGUAGUAGCCUUGUGUAAGGGUUUAAAUGUCGAGACAUUUAUCUAUAUAUAUAUAUAUAUCUAUAAACUAUUCAAAUAAUCAUUGUUACUUAACACAUGAUUAACAAAAAGUGAAGAAAAUGUAAAAAAAAAGUUACGAGGGAAAUGUAAUGUAGCAUUGAAGGUGACGUACGUGUCCAACAUAUGUAUAAUGAUAUAAGCACAAAAAGUUCACUAUCUCUCUCGAAUUAAUUUUGUUCAUUUAAAAUAUCAAAAAAAAAAAAUAUAAACUCUGUAGGAUUGUUAGGAUCUUUAGGGCACUGAGGCAGCUGUCACAGAAAGAAAAGAUAAUUAGUUUCUUAUUAAUUAUUACUCUUAUUAUAUUAUAUGUCGACUAUUAUUAUUGUUAAUUAAUUAUUAUUAACGAAUAAAUAUAUGUAAUGAAAUAUAUAAAAUCAAAUCAAUGUGCUUUCAGUUCUUAUUUCUUCUUCGUUUCGUAGAUUUAGAUAUCGGUUGAUUGAUAUACACUACGUGUGAUUCAAAGAUAAAUACGGUUUUAAGAAUAUCUAAUCAUGACAACGACUGACAUGGAAUUAUCAUGGAAUUUAUUGAAAUUAGAAAUCUUGAACACUUGAAGUAUAUUAUCGGCCAACGUAUCAGCUAGGAAUAACUGAUUAUAAAGUUUGUCGACCAAUAACCUUAUAAAACUAAAUAUGGAAAUGUGUAUAUACUAAAUUUAUCAUCUUGUAACAUUGACACGCGCGUAAAUUAUCUCGAUUAUCGCUUUAGAUGCCGCUACCUGCGAGAUAAGAUCUGUGUGUGUGUGUGUCAAAGAUCGAUGACAAGACAUCAAUUGCCAGACUUUUAUAACACUGGAACCGUGGUUACGGAUUAGAAUCGAUUUCUUUGUAAUUCGAAGAAAAAGCCGGUGGAGAAGAAAAGUUGAUGAAUCACUAAAGUGGAUACUGGAGGAUUACAAGAUUUCUGUUUCUCACUGUAACCAGUAGGAAGGUGAAAUCCUUUGCGAAAUCAUUAGUUUUCGAUUUUGCGAGAUCUCGAGAGACGAUUGAGUUGAAUGGAGGAGCGUAACGGUAAUAACAAAAAACGAUUACUUUACAUCGAUACCUGGAUAGGUUGCAAAAAACAUUUGUCACAGACGUCAACAUGGCGGAACAACUUUUUGUGUAGCCAAUAGUAUUUCAUUCUGUCGAGAUAUUAGUGCAUGAUAUUGUUACAGAUUUUUAAGUGGUAAGUAGUUACAUGAUGCAAAAGAUUCAGAUUUAAUGAUUUGAAGAUACAACAGGAAGCUAUAUUUCUAGAAAAAAAAACUAGAUUAAAUAUAUCGAUAUCUAGGUUUAAGAAACUUGGAGUAUCGAAUAGUCUUGUGUAUUGAGAACAAUAUUAAAACAAAGGAUUUUGUAAAUUGUCAA